rnacentral:rRNA from 1 species
GAAUGGCACCACGAGGGUUAUACUGUCUCCUUUUUCUAAUCAGUGAAACUAAUCUCCCCGUGAAGAAGCGGGGAUACAUCUAUAAGACGAGAAGACCCUAUGGAGCUUUAAACAACACAGCAAUUACCUACUGAACUAUAAAUUUCCGAAUACCUUAACCUUUUUAAGUAAUCUGACUGCAAGUUUUUGGUUGGGGUGACCACGGAGCAUAACACAACCUCCAUGCUGAAAGAAUUUUUUCUAAGCUAAGAACAACCUGUCUAAGCAUCAAUAUAUUGACAUCCAUUGACCCAAUACAUUUGACCAACGAACCAAGUUACCCUAGGGAUAACAGCGCAAUCCACUUCAAGAGCUCCUAUCGACAAGUGG